rnacentral:lncRNA from 1 species
GGUCUUUGAUGAAUGAUCACUGUCACCCCAGCCAAUGUCUUCUUCCUCUAGGUCUCAGUUUCCCACCUGGACACCAGCAUGACUUUCAGACAGCAGUCACUCUGACUCUGGAGCCCAACUGAGACUGAUCAGAUCAAUCGGCUUUCAGAAAUGGGGAUGUGACAAGUGACGCCAGCUAAACCUCCUCUAGCGACUGCGCCACGCGCAUGGAAAGAUACACUGUAGAGCGAGGGGGACAGAGUUACGCCCGGGCUCUCUGGAUGGCAGCUUUGGAAAGUUGACGAUUUAUCACCUACCCCAACUCCUUCUCAAGUGUGGUCUGGGACUCGUUGCUCAUCCGUGUGAUUUUGCCAAGUGGUGUUUGGACUUGGCGUUGGGAGUUCACACUGUAGGCGGUGAUGGCAGUGAUCUGAAGCCUGAAUACCUUAAUAAAUAAUUACGGUGAUUCUGUGAUCACCAGACAUGACCUCAUGAGCGCCCUCGCGCUGAUGGAAUCAGCUGAGGGAGCAUUUUCUUUCGCCUUUCUGGCGAUAUGAUCUACAAGCUCAAGCCUUUCUGUGAGAAACUUUGGAGAGCCAUCCGGCUGAGCUGGAUAUGUGAGGCAGGGUUGCACCACCGUUCUUUUCAUCCGUGCAGUUUCUCCAGAAACUCGUGAAAUUAAGGCAUGGUUUGGUCAGAGAGUCCAGGAAAGCUCAACCCCACACUUGGGCAGUGUCUUCUCUCCAUGAAGUUCCCAAGAGAAUCCAUGUCCCCAAAGUAACGGAAGCAAGGAAGCCACCUGUGCUGCUGAGCCUGUCACUCAGGGGACUUGGGUGACAAUAAACUUGCCAG